AACGAAUUUGAAUGAGGAGUCUCAGCGCUUUCGGCGCCAUUUUCGAGUGAUGCCUGAUCUCAUCAAUCUAGCGGGAGGGAAGGGAUAACCUGUCCGAGCGUAGCGCGACGCUAGGAUCGCGCCGGAAAAUCCCCCAAAAAUCAUCAAAAAAAUUAACUUACACCAGAGGGCAGUCGGCGGGGCUUCGCCAGAUGCGGCGCAGUCGGUAAGAGCCUCAAGUAGCAAAGCGGGUCUCGGGAGGCGGCAGCGACGGGACCGGAGGACCGUGAGGGGAGCAGGGACCGGACUCGGGGUCUGCCCUCACUUUCGCAGCAGAAGCUCCCUCAGGGGAUCCGGCCGCUAUUUUAACCGUUAGAAGAGUACCAGUUCUGGAAAACAACCAAAGUUUCUUUGAUUGAAUGCCCAUGUAAUGCAUUGGAAUAUGAUAGGCGAUUAAGGUUUAACAAUGUUAAAAUGAAGAUAUUACUAAAAUGACCCUCUAAAUAGCCCAACAAUUAUUAUUUUUCUCUCUCUCGGGCAGAAACCUAUGUGUUCCUCUUCCAGAGAGCUAGUGAAGCCAAAAGCAUUCUCAUAAUGAUGGGCUACACCGACUGACAUUUACCAACUGUGUCAAAGCUACAGAAGCUAGGUAGACACUGCUGGAACUUUAACGGGAAUCAAACAAGUCUAUAAGAAGCACUGAGCUGUGCCACUACCCAAUCAGUGUUCUUCCAGA
rnacentral:lncRNA from 1 species